rnacentral:rRNA from 1 species
GUGACGAAGCGACGCCGCGUGCGGGAGGAAGGCCUUCGGGUUGUAAACCGCUGUCGGGAGUUAAGAAAUGCAAGGAUGUUAAUAGCGUUCUUGCUUGACUAAGGCUCCGGAGGAAGCCACGGCUAACUCUGUGCCAGCAGCCGCGGUAAUACAGAGGCGGCAAGCGUUGUUCGGAAUUAUUGGGCGUAAAGAGCACGUAGGCGGCUGUGUAAGUCGGUUGUGAAAGCCUUCCGCUUAACGGAAGAACGGCAUCCGAUACUGCAUAGCUUGAGUGCGGGAGGGGAGAGUGGAACUUCUGGUGGAGCGGUGAAAUGCGUAGAUAUCAGAAGGAACACCGGCGGCGAAGGCGACUCUCUGGUCCGUAACUGACGCUGAGUGUGCGAAAGCUAGGGGAGCAAACGGGAUUAGAUACCCCGGUAGUCCUAGCCGUAAACGAU